rnacentral:rRNA from 1 species
AGGGCACCACCAGGAGUGGAGCCUGCGGCUUAAUUUGACUCAACACGGGGAAACUCACCCGGCCCGGACACCAUAAGGAUUGACAGAUUGAUAGCUUUUUCGUGAUUUGGUGGAUGGUGGUGCAUGGCCGUUCUUAGUUCGUGGAGCGAUUUGUCUGGUUUAUUCCGAUAACGAGCGAGACUCUAGCCUACUAAAUAGUUUGCACAUUGCCUCUGUGUUGCAGUACUUCUUAGAGGGAUUUUCGGUGUACAGCCGCACGAGAUUGAGCAAUAACAGGUCUGUGAUGCCCUUAGAUGUCCGGGGCUGCACGCGCGCUACACUGGCGAAAUCAGCGUGCUUGUCCUUGCUCGAAAGAGCUUGGUAAACCAAUGAAAAUUUGCCGUGAUUGGGAUCGGAAGUUGCAAUUAUUUUCCGUGAACGAGGAAUUCCAAGUAAGUGCGAGUCAUCAGCUCGCGUUGAUUACGUCCCUGCCCUUUGUACACACCGCCCGUCGCUGCCUAGAACUGAGCCAUUUCGAGA